AAGAAAAGAAAAAGGAGAAGCGAGCGGGCAGCAGCGAGACCUAGCCGGCUUCUCCCCGCAGCCGCCUCCUCUCCUGCUGCCGCCCUUUCUCACCCUCACCGGCCACCGGCCACCUCCCACCCCUCCUUCUCCGCCUCGUCGCCCUGGCCACCUUGUGCUCGAGCCGAGGAGCGACUCGGCAGGACGAGGGGAGCAGAGCAGCAGCCAGCCGCGCCUCGUCCAUGCCGCGUGGUGGCCCAGAUGCGGCCGCUCCCUGCUCUGUAUGCGCCCGUCGGCCUCGAUCCGACCUUGGCAGGAGGAGCUCGAGUCGAAGAGCGCGGCCUCGAUCCAGAAUCGGCAGGAGGAGGGGAGCAGCAGCCGGCACGCCUCGUCGCAAGUGAUCCCCCAUCUCUUCUGGUUGCACCUCCCCCUGGAUGGACCAUGGAUUUAAUUGUACCCUCUGAAAGCCACACAAAUUCAAGUAACCAAGAACUUCAGUGAGAGUGUAUUUGCCAACUGUGCAAGCGUGCUUCUCUACAUGGGCGGCGUCACCACGACCAGUUUGACGAUUCAAGCCAAGGGUUGCAUUAUAUCUUCACUUAUCAUAUCUAUUAUUUUGAGGAUCACAGAAACAAAACACAUAUUUUAUAGGUGUUCCUAAUGGCAACAGUGGUAAUCAACGAUGAGAGAAAAAAGGUGAGACUGGAUUUGUACUAGGUAUGUUCCUCAUCUCUCUGUCCUUGUUCUAAUCCCCACCCUGAUGUAAUCGCUUCUUCACAACUGCUGGAUGUCUCUUAGGGGAUGAAUGCCAUGGAUUAUUUACAUUCUUUUUAAGCUGGCCACUAAUUAAACUGCUCGCCCCUUUGUUAAAGCUAAUCAUAGUAAUAUCUGGUGAUCGACCGGCUGAUGCGUGCAGUGGCAACCACAUUCAUGAUGAUGAACUUAAUCAAAUUUGUAGUUAAGUUAGUGCUAAAUCGCACUAGAGAUUCCAUUGACAGGUUCCUUUUGCGGAUCUAAAAAUGGAGGCGUUGAGCGUAUCAAAACUCAUAAAGGAUUUUAAGAUCGCGAAGAUUGAUAGGUGGGCAAAUAGGGUGGCGCAUGAGAUUGCAAAAUUCAGUUUUGGCAGUAGGUCCGAUGGCCUCUUAUGUAAUAGUGUUCCGCCAUGUGUAACUGCUUUUGUAAUGAACGAUUGUAAGAAUCUUAAUUUACCAAAUUAAUAUAUGGGGGUUUUCAAUAAAAAUAAAAAAAUAAAUCGCACGUGUGUAUAUUCAGGUUCAGUACGUGUUACAGUUGUCAAGCAUAAGCUCACGAGCAGUCAAGCAGUUUUAUUAGGAUAUGUAGAUUUAAAAAGAAAUAGGUAGAGUCACUACAAUAAAUAUCAGUAGCAUGCACUAUAUAUGUAUGCAGAACAGAUCGUAGUCAUGAUUUUGUAUUGCUCGGAUCUCGGAUCGAGAUUCGUAUACACCGGUCAUUGAUUCAGUCUUAAGGGAUUACAUGAAAAUGACUUAUAGUAGCCAGUGCUACCACUAAUAGUGCAAUUGUAUAUUUUGAGCAAGGAAGCACGUUAACCACUCAGUAUUAGAGUAAGAUGCUACAUGCCGAAGUACCAUCUAAAAAGGACAGAUAUUUACUUUGUGAAAAAUCUUGGUAGAAAAAUAGUGUAACCUUUUGGCAGUGGAUUGCGUAUAAUACCACGACACUGCUAUAUCUGUCAAAACCUGAGCUACAUAUAGUAGUUAGUAAAUGGAAUUUUUUGAUGAACAUACUACUGUACAAUGAUUAUGCUAGCAAAGCUUCGUCCUCGGAUGAAUAUGAGAUGCAUUCUUUGGCCCCUCUAAUUUCCAUGUGAAGAACGUGAUCUUGCGACUUGCUUGUUCAUUCUCCCUUUAUGCUAAAUCUAUUUCUUUCCAAAAGGCAUACUACUCUUCUUGUGCUUCCUUUAUGCUCUGUUUCUUUAAUAAGCCCAAUUAUUUUCAGCUUAAAUUUGAUAAGUUAGUGUUUCAUGAUCCAGAUAACCAAAACUGGGUCCUCUACCAAGCACCUGUCCAGCCCUGUGCGAGCUACACUUCAAUUUGUAUUCUCAGAUAGUAGCGGCUGCCUGCAGAGGAGAGGUCGAGGACGGGUCCCUAUUCAUGUAGGAGACACCAACAUAGAUGAGCUAUUUCUUCCACUUUUCCUCAUCUUUCCAUGGUUGCUUGGUCGGAUUUGUUGCAUGAGGUAGGAGAAGAAUAAGAAAAUUUGUCAGAUUUUUCGUGUGCAAGUUCGGCAGCGGGCAAUGGUCGAGAUAGAGUCGGGUGCACAUCAUAUAUAUACAAGUACCUCUAAUUUAACUCUAUAUGGAAGAUUUAAAAGCCUUUGUGAAAGAUUCCGGUUUUGUAGAAGCCGAUGAUCAGACACACCAUGACCUUACUUCUGGAUACAAUAUUGAUGAGGUUAAUUCUUUACAAAAGUAGAUUUCAGUGUUUUUUGCCGCAUUUUGAUGGGUUCCUCUUUUCCUUGUUUUCAGAAUUGUUGUGACUACAUUUUUCUGCAUGCCAUUCAUGUUGCAAUAUGUUUGCUAAAUUAAAUGUGCUCUACUUGAAAGAAAAUAACGCACAUCAUAAUCAUAUGCCUUGCCAGGCUAUGGUUGACUACAUGCUAAGAUUUCGUUCCAUUAUGCUUAUAUUGCUAGGCUUUUAGUUCAUCCUUCUCUUUCCCUAGGUGGCUACUGCCAAGUACAUAGACGUCCAUUUACUUGCUAGGCCUGAUUGGAUUUUUCAUCUUUUUUACCCGUUAUUCCCUUUGGACCUAUUGAUCUGCGAAUUUGCUUUACAACUGACGGUGCCUCAUUAUGUGAUACUGAAACUAAACAAAUGUGCGUAUUUGGGAAAUUGAUAAUCAAAUAUUGGACUUCGAAUCAACAGAAAAGAGAUGCUUUGUGACCAAAUAUAUAUCUCUGAAACGUCUGCACAAUAAUGUUAUAGUUUAUGUUAGAUGGCAAAGUUUCAGAUUUUUAUUAUGACAGCAAGAUGCCAACGCAAGGUGCUUGUGCAUGAAUAAACCAUAUGAAUAUGAGAUGCACAACUUCCUGUGCAAUUCUGAGACUUUUGGGCAAGUCAUCUCCAUAGGUGUGAAAGAAGAUUCUGAUUACAUAUAAGAAAAUCAUCCAAUUUUUUGUUCAUCUGCAUCCAUGCGGCGAUACCGCCUGCAAGAUAUACUCCAUCGCUUCUAAGCAUCACAUUGGCAGGUCGAUUCCUCGGGUGGAUUGGAUUCUCACCCGCUCCAAGUGAAACUUGAGCGACGGCAUGGUAUACUAAUGGACAAGGGACUACCAAAGAAGAGAUGAUGCGGGUUCAGAAUCUGACAUUAUCUGUGUUAGUGCUGGCAGAUCCAAAGGCGGAAAGAAACGGACAGUUUCACACACUAGCAACCGUAGGAUCAUCAGCAAAAAGCAUACCGUGAUGAAAAAAAUCAGAAUCCCAACAAAAGUGCUUUUUGAUGCUAUGAUGCAGCAGCUAGGCCUCCCAAAUGCAGUGUACUCAACACAGAAGGCAAGAGCAAUUGGUCUUGACGCAACUAUUCACUUCUAUCCCUCCAAGCAUCAACUGGACAACAAAUCUUCCAAAAUAAUCAAUAUCAAUCCAUGUAUCCAACAAACUAGAAGAUGCUGAAGACCAACUAGCAAACGAAGCUCUCAAGUACAUGAAAACCAUCCAUGGUAAAGUGUUGCAGGACAUAAACUAUGACAAGAUGCAACUGCUUCAGCAAAAGUGUGAAUCUCUUGAGCAUCAGCAGAAAGAAAAACACAACCUAAUAGACUAUUUUAGCAACAGCUGGUGCCAUAGCCUCGGUGGAGAUCACAUGGCAUCAAAGGAACUUUACUGUAUAAUAGAUAGCAACUUCACAGCCGGAUCAACAUCCAAAGACAAUGAUCUGAAUCACAUUUUGUCGCAAGUAAGAUAUGUUGUUGAUCGUCUCAGUGAUACAGCCACAUAAUUAGAUUAUCAUCUCCAACAGACAUGAACAAUUGCCUGAACAAAUCUUUAGCGUCGAUGAAACAUCCACCAAUUACACUGGCUAAUGUCCAUCACUUCAUAAUGCCUAUAAGAUGUAUCUCUGCCUAUCUACCUUCUUUCCUAAUAACAUUGUAAAUAUUCUAUCGUAAGCUUCUUAGGACACUAUGUAUCAUGAAUAAUCCAUGUGUUCCAAUUUGUCCCUAAAUAUAUUUAUGUUCACUCUUUCAAUA